rnacentral:lncRNA from 1 species
GCACAUCGUACUACGAGCAACGGAUGUCAGCGCCAUCUUGUAACGGCGACUGUGAGGGCGGCUCCUCACAAUGGUGACCACAAAGCAAGGAAAGAAUAAAAGAUGUCACAGUCAUAAAGAAGUCUGGAGUACAUCAUUCAAAAUUCCACUUGAUCAACCCAGCUUACUCCUGUUCCUUUACCUAAUAGUCUUACUCUUCCUAUAUCCAGUUGUGAAUAGAUAGAACCUGAAAUACUGAGCAGUCCCCACACGUGAAAGCUUCUCUGUGUCCUCACCCAUUAUCUAUACCACAGUUCCAUAUUCGUGAGACCCAGCUUAACCACUGUUGACCUCCGGCUCCAGCAAGUUCCACUUGUGAGAUUUCUCAUUUGUUUUCUAAAUUUAAUGCUGUAUUUCCAUAUGAUUGUCUGGCAUCCAGUACCAUUACAUACCAUAGGUAUUUAUUGAAUGAUUAUAUAGCAAUUUGAGCUGGGAGUAUAGAGUUAGCACAUAAUAAUUAGAAGUUAGUUUGUCAUGAUUACAUUGACCAGAUGCUUCCCAUUUCCCAGGCUAGAUAUUUAAUUGGAAAAAAUAAAAAUACAUUCCCAAGUUAAAGGUUGUAGUUGAGCAGUGUUUUAUUUAUAAUGGCAAAAGUUUGCCUAAUCUGAAUGUCUGUACAGUUUAGCAGUAAGAAGGAAUUAACCACUUUUUCUCAUAACAUUACUGAUAAUUCUCAAAACCAUGAAGCUGAAUACAAGAAAUGAAGCAUAAAAAAGAACAUAAUGAGAUAUUUCCUUAGUCAGAAAGACCAUUCUGAGUUACAGUAUAAGAAUUAUGCCAGUUGAUGCCCAUGUACAAAUAAACAGCAUUAACUGGACACAGUGGGUUAUUAAAAAAUGAAAGAAGAAAAUAUAAAGUUGAGAGAGGAACUUUUUAUGAUGGUUCAGGAGAGUUAGCAGAAAGGGCAAAUAGGUAUGGAUAUGACUAUACUUUGUUGACUUAUGUAAAAUAUUGCAAAAAAAUAAAAAUGAAAUAUUUAUU